rnacentral:misc_RNA from 1 species
GAGACUCUCUUCUACAAUGACACAUAUGCGAGUAAGAACCAGCGUAUCAUCGGUGGUAAUGGCAAAAACAUCAACCGGAGGAAGCUCGACGAUGUCAAGGCCAGAAGGGAGAGUUGGUGAUCGGAGGAGCUGUUCCUGGGCCGCAGAGGCUUCGUUGGUGGUGAUGACAAGGAAGCUCACAUGGAAGUCAUGGUGGAUGACUAGUCGCUUAGCGAGCUCGAAGAGAGGGAUGAU